rnacentral:rRNA from 1 species
UACGAAGGGAGCUAGCGUUGCUCGGAAUUACUGGGCGUAAAGGGAGCGUAGGCGGGUUAUCAAGUUGGAGGUGAAAGCCCAGGGCUCAACCUUGGAAUUGCCUUCAAAACUGAUAGCCUAGAGUAUGGAAGAGGUAAGUGGAACUCCGAGUGUAGAGGUGAAAUUCGUAGAUAUUCGGAAGAACACCAGUGGCGAAGGCGACUUACUGGUCCAUGACUGACGCUGAGGCUCGAAAGCGUGGGGAGCAAACAGG